UACGUAGGGUGCGAGCGUUGUCCGGAAUUAUUGGGCGUAAAGGGCUCGUAGGCGGCCAACUAAGUCGGACGUGAAAUCCCUCAGCUUAACUGGGGAACUGCGUCUGAUACUGGAUGGCUUGGAUUUGGGAGAGGGAUGCGGAAUUCCAGGUGUAGCGGUGAAAUGCGUAGAUAUCUGGAGGAACACCGGUGGCGAAGGCGGCAUCCUGGACCAACAUUGACGCUGAGGAGCGAAAGCCAGGGGAGCAAACGGG
rnacentral:rRNA from 1 species